GAGUGACAUGAAGACUGCAACAUCAAGAGGACCCUAGAGAAAGGUUGGAACUUGCUUGCUUACCUCAGCCUUUGGGAACUGUAGACCACUUGGCAUAGGGGGAACCAGAUAUUUUUUGUGGAGGUGACCGCCCCCUUGGUAAAGCUUUCAUCUUCCUAAUCAUCAUGGCUCUGAUGCUAUGCGUUGACGCUUCACCACUGCCUUCACCAUCACCAUCGCCCUAUCCUUCUUGUGGUGUAAACUGUGGAAAACACAAGAGCAUUUUAUAAUCUGUGCACGAGGGGUAAAACCAGAAGACCGUUCAUUAAAUUGGUGAAGGAAAAUUUAUCAUGAGUACAGGAAUUCUAAUACAAAAAUGGAUUGAUUAAUAUUAAUUGUUCUUCAAUCAAUAAAAAUCAUGUGUCUAUUG